rnacentral:lncRNA from 1 species
AAAAAAAAAAAAAAAAAAAAUUAACAACUAGAGUCGGUUAACCUUAAUCGACUACUGAACAUAGUCGAUUAAGCCUUAAUCGACUAUUGAACAUAGUCGAUUAAACACACGUAGUCGAUUAAGGCCCUGCAUGCGCGAAUUUCUUUUUCUGCGCGAAUUCAGCAAACCCAUCGGAAUCUUCCACCCAAAACCGCCGCCGCCAGCAGACCCAUCACAAUCCUCCACCC